rnacentral:rRNA from 1 species
UACAGAGGUCUCAAGCGUUGUUCGGAUUCAUUGGGCGUAAAGGGUGUGUAGGCGGCGCGGUAAGUCGGGUGUGAAAUUUCGGAGCUUAACUCCGAAACUGCAUUCGAUACUGCGGUGCUUGAGGACUGGAGAGGAGACUGGAAUUCAUGGUGUAGCAGUGAAAUGCGUAGAGAUCAUGAGGAAGACCAGUGGCGAAGGCGGGUCUCUGGACAGUUCCUGACGCUGAGACACGAAGGCCAGGGGAGCAAACGGG